CCUACGGGAGGCAGCAGUGGGGAAUAUUGCACAAUGGGGGGAACCCUGAUGCAGCGACGCCGCGUGGGUGAAGGAGUAUUUCGGUAUGUAAAGCCCUAUCAGCAGGGAAGAACAAUGACGGUACCUGACUAAGAAGCACCGGCUAAAUACGUGCCAGCAGCCGCGGUAAUACGUAUGGUGCAAGCGUUAUCCGGAUUUACUGGGUGUAAAGGGGGCGCAGACGGCAGCGCAAGCCAGGAGUGAAAGCCCGGGGCCCAACCCCGGGACUGCUCUUGGAACUGCGCGGCUGGAGUGCAGGAGGGGCAGGCGGAAUUCCUGGUGUAGCGGUGAAAUGCGUAGAUAUCAGGAGGAACACCGGUGGCGAAGGCGGCCUGCUGGACUGCGACUGACGUUGAGGCCCGAAAGCGUGGGGAGCAAACAGGAUUAGAUACCCUAGUAGUC
rnacentral:rRNA from 1 species